GGUUGCGUAGCCACGAGAACGAGGGGGUUGGAACCCAGAUUUGAAGAGAACCCCAAGUUGGGCCUUUUGUUUCUGUAGACGCUGGAGGCUAGCCAAAAGGAUACUGUGUCCGAUAAAGAAUGUGACAGUGCUUUGUAACCGGAAGGUGCUUUUCAAAAGUAUUCACUCACUGACAAAGAUCGGAUUUAUAAAGAUACUCAUAAUAAAAGGCAAUAAUAAUGAAAACAAAACAAAACAGUAUUUGACUUACAUCAGAAGCGACUUACCACCAAGUUAUCAGAAUGGAACCCUGAGUCUUAGAAACUGGUGUCCUUAUAAGAAGAGGAGAGGACACGCAGAGGAGAAGGCCAUAUGAAGACGGAGGCAGAGAAUAGAGUGAUGCAUCUACCAGCCAAGGAGCACCAAGGAUUACUGGCAGCCAUCAGAAACUAGGAGAAAGGCAUGGAGCAGAUCCUUCGCUAGCACCUUCAAAGGAAGCAUGUCCCUGCUGACACCUUAAUUUUGGACUUCUAGCCUCGAACUGUGAGAGAAUAAAUUUCUGUUGUAAGCCACCUAGUCUGUCGUCAUUUGUUGCAGCAGCUAAAGGAAACUAAUACUGCAGAAUCUCCUCACAGUUGCUUACAUUAUUCCUCAAGCCCUUGCUUCCUUCUUGUUUCUGUGGUUUCCCAGGGUUAAUUUGCAGGGAGGAAGCCAACAGCCCUUAUUAGUUCUCCAUUUUCUCAGGAACCGUACAUAAUUCACAGUCUUCACUUUGCCUUAAGGCUCACUGGCUCUUUUCUUUGUGUUUAUAAAGUACACAUUCAUUCACUUACUAGUUCAGUCAACAUCGAGUGCCUCCUUUUCUAGAAGUCACUUUAUAAUUUCAUGACUACCUCAUUGAGAUCUAACCGUUAGAGUUCUAGUGAAUGCACUCCUGCAUAUAAACUAAAAAUUUGAUAGUUUAGCUUCCUGCAUAUAAAAUGAAAAUAUAAAACUGGACAUGUCUACAUUUGCCUCAACAAUCCAUACAAUUACUGUGAAGGAAAAUGACUUUAAAGUUAUAAAAGUUAUACAAAUAUUAAGUACAUGUUAUUCUUUGUAGCAUAAGUAAGUUUUUAAAAUUAAAAGUUUUUUUUUUUUAUUAUCUGUACACACCGGUCACUUAGCUUUUUAUGAAGACAUGCUGGCAGUCCCACUGAUCAUUCCAGUCACUUAUUAACCUAGCCCUCAUGCAAGGCACAUUUAUUAGGUUCUGUAAAUGAUAUCAAGAAAUAAAAUGUUGGUUGCUUUAAGGUAAGAUUUUGGAUAUUGGCUAUAUAAAGAAAAUCACAGCUUGGGUCUGAAUUUAAAGAUGUGUGCUGAAGAACCGGAAGGCUGACAUUUGUAUGAUUUUAUUUGUAUAAGGACUCAAAGUUCCUAGAAGAGAAGUCUAAGGCAAGAGAAGUGUGGCACACAGCUUGGCCCAGUAAUACUGUAAUAUUAUAAGUGAGAAAUAAUUUUGAUAAUACAAUGCUACCACUAAGUAGCCCCCUAUAGAUUAAUGCUGAUUCUUACGGAGAAGGGAGCUACAACUGAAAAUUGAAAACUUUCAUUAAAAAGUAUAUAAGACAUCGGGAGCACAAAAUAGCCCUACUUUGGGAACCAUUACUGGAGUAUAACAAAAAGGAAUGGUCAGAUUCUCCCCAUUCCAGGGGAUAACAUAGCACAUCACUGUAAUAAGGGUGCAUCAGCCCUAUUGGCUAUAUUAGUAAAAUUAGUACUUUUGAUAGAGUGGAACCAGUACAAAAGAGUGUUACCCAGCCAAACAUUGGUGAGCAUCAAUAGACAAUGAUAAAAUAGCUACCACAGAGGCAUUGUCAAGGCACCUUCAAGGGGAUUUGAAGAUAUUGGAGUCCUUGAGAGUUAUGAUCACAGGAAGCCAGAGGCAGAAAGUGGUCGAUGCCAUGAGGUAGCCAAGAGGACCUUGUAUAUAAGCAUCUUCCGGAAGUAACAAUACAACAUUGAUGUCUUGCAAUAGCAGAUGGUUUUGGAACUAUAGAAAUAAGAUUUGUAUGUCAUUUGGCCUUAUGCUUUUAUUAUCAGGCAGGUAUAGCCUAAGAAAUAUAGAUAACAGGUUUUACACAUAAGAAGGAUAAUGUAAGGGAGUAAAGAACUGUGUAAUAAAAUAAUAAAAAGAAGGAAGUGAACAUUUGAGUAUGUCCCACUUUGAAGAUCCUAUACUAGGCAUUUUAUUCAUUCUUUCAACAACUAUUGGGUACUUAUGUUCCAGAGCUAGACAUCAGGGCUAUAACAAUGAAGUUCCUACCUCGAGAAAUUUACAGUGUAGCUCAGGGACAGCAUAUAGGUGACAUGUGUACUGUCUUUUAAUCCUAUGUUCAUGAAAAAUACCACGAAUUCAUCACCACAUUCUUUCCUGCUGAGCCUAGACAAGGCUUCUCAGCACAAGCUUGAAAGCAGCUACUACUGGUUGAAAUGUAUAUGCCUGGAGGAUGACUUAGUUAAUCCUCACAACAGUGCUAUUAUGUAGAUAUUAUACCCACUUCACAAGAUAAGGAAAUGGAAACUUAUGAAAUAUUUAAAAACUUGUCUAGAUCAUAUAGUUUAGUAAGUGGCAGAGCCAGAAUUAAGCCUAGCUCUAUGACUACAAAGCCCGUACAGUCUAUAUUUGCUCAUUGCUCUGGCAAGUUAGUGGGAAGAUGCAGAAGUGAAGAAGGCAUUGACCCUCCCCUGAGAGGCCUUAAUCUAGCCAAGCAGGAAGUCAGAUAAACAGAUCAUAACAAUAAGUAAACAGCUUUCAUAGAAUGCUACAUAAUGUAUUAAGGGGACACAGAACUUGUAUACAUACUCACCAUAGAAGGAUUUUAGUGAGACAAAUUCCGUUAGAUAUUUCCACUCAGU